ensembl:snRNA U6 U6 spliceosomal RNA
GUACUGCUUUGACAGCACAUACACUAAACUUGGAAUGAUAAAGUGGCCCCUGCACAAGGUAGACAUGCAAAUUUCUGAAGUGUUCUAUAUUUUU